rnacentral:rRNA from 1 species
UUCGCAAUGCCCGAAAGGGUGACGAAGCGACGCCGCGUGCGGGAAGAAGGCCUUCGGGUUGUAAACCGCUGUCGGGAGUUAGGAAAUGCAAGGAUGUUAAUAGCGUCUUUGCUUGACUAAGGCUCCGGAGGAAGCCACGGCUAACUCUGUGCCAGCAGCCGCGGUAAUACAGAGGCGGCAAGCGUUGUUCGGAAUUAUUGGGCGUAAAGAGCACGUAGGCGGCUGUGUAAGUCGGUUGUGAAAGCCUUCCGCUCAACGGGAGAACGGCAUCCGAUACUGCAUGGCUCGAGUGCGGGAGGGGAGAGUGGAACUUCUGGUGGAGCGGUGGAAUGCGUAGAUAUCAGAAGGAACACCGGCGGCGAAGGCGACUCUCUGGCCCGUAACUGACGCUGAGUGUGCGAAAGCUAGGGGAGCAAACGGGAUUAGAUACCCCGGUAGUCCUAGCCGUAAACGAUGGGCACUAAGUAGAGGGGUUUU